rnacentral:rRNA from 1 species
AGUGAACGCUGGCGGUAGGCCUAACACAUGCAAGUCGAGCGAACACACAAUAAGCUUUUUCUCCUACGGGUGGCGGGUGGCGGACGGGUAACGAAUGCAUCGCCUACUACUUAUUCUGGGGGGACAACGUGGGGCAGCAGACACUACUACCUCAUACAACCUACCGCAUGAAUCAAUAGUGCUUCAGAGCUUGGCCGAUUCAUUUAGACGACGUCGCAUUAGCUAGUUGGGGUGGUAAGGGCCCACCAAGGCAACGAUACGUAGCGGGCCUGAGAGGAUGAUCAGCCACACUGGAACUGAGACACGGUCCAGACUCCUACGGGAGGCAGCAGUAGGGAAUCUUCGGCAAUGGGCGCAAGCCUGACGGAGCCAUGCCGCGUGAGUGAAGAAGGCCUUCGGAUUGUAAAGCCCUGUUGUUGGGGAAGAAAAACUGCGUAAGAAUCCACGGCUGUUCUGACGGUACCCAAAGAAUAAGCACCGGCUAACUUCGUG